ACCUCCUUUAGGUAGAUAGAAACUUGUUACACCUUUGAGCAACAAUGAAUUCGUGUAUAACACCUUUUACAGUUACAAUCACCUUACGAGUGGUGAUUCAGCUAUUCCCAGUGUAGAAUUCCUGCUACACUCAAAAGAUAUGAAAUGAAAACCGUAUACCACAAACUAUAUCUCUCAAAAUGAAUAAAUGUUAAGGCUCAAUACUUAGAAAAUAAAAAGAUUGAAAGCUGAAUAUUGUAAAUUGUUGUGUGAUUUUGAAGAUCUCAAAUGAGCGAUCUAUAGACAUGUUCAUUUUCAAAU